AUUGAACGUCGGCGGCAUGCUUUACACAUGCAAGUCGAACGGUAACGCGGGGCAACCUGGCGACGAGUGGCGAACGGGUGAGUAAUGCAUCGGAACGUGCCCGGUAGUGGGGGAUAACUGCUCGAAAGAGCAGCUAAUACCGCAUACGACCUGAGGGUGAAAGGAGGGGAUCGCAAGACCUCUCGCUAUUGGAGCGGCCGAUGUCGGAUUAGCUAGUUGGUGGGGUAAGGGCCCACCAAGGCGACGAUCCGUAGCUGGUCUGAGAGGACGACCAGCCACACUGGGACUGAGACACGGCCCAGACUCCUACGGGAGGCAGCAGUGGGGAAUUUUGGACAAUGGACGCAAGUCUGAUCCAGCCAUGUCGCGUGCGGGAAGAAGGCCUUCGGGUUGUAAACCGCUUUUGUCAGAGAAGAAAUCUUCUGGGUUAAUACCUCGGGAGGAUGACGGUAUCUGAAGAAUAAGCACCGGCUAACUACGUGCCAGCCGCCGCCGUAA
rnacentral:rRNA from 1 species